GGGUGUCUGAGCCUUUCUGGUUCAGGCAAGACGCAGGUACCAGAAAUGCGAAGACCCCACUUGUUAAUCCAUUAACUCGUGAGGUCUGCAUGAAGUACCUUAACACUACUGAUUGUAGCCUCUUCCUUGCAGAGAGGUCAAAGUUUAUGACGAAAUA
rnacentral:antisense_RNA from 1 species